AUACGGAGGAUCCGAGCGUUAUCCGGAUUUAUUGGGUUUAAAGGGUGCGCAGGCGGCCAUUUAAGUCAGCGGUUAAAUCGUGGGGCUCAACCCCAUUCUGCCGUUGAUACUGGGUGGCUUGAUUGCGGUCGAGGUUGGCGGAAUUCGUUGUGUAGCGGUGAAAUGCAUAGAUAUGACGAAGAACACCGAUUGCGUAGGCAGCUGACCAGACCGCAAAUGACGCUCAUACACGAAAGUGCGGGGAUCGAACAGGAUUAGAUACCCUGGUAGUCCGCACAGUAAACGAUGAAUACUUGUUUUCGGCGAUAUAAUGUCGGAGGCAAAGCGAAAGCGAUAAGUAUUCCACCUGGGGAGUACGCCGGCAACGGUGAAACUCAAAGGAAUUGACGGGG
rnacentral:rRNA from 1 species